GGCCAGGUGGCGGAGUGGUUAACGCGGUAGACUCGAACUAAAUAUAGGUCCACUAUAUGAGUGCGGUAUCUACUUCCUUCGGGAGCGUCUGUUCGAAUCAGGCCCUGGUCG